GGUUAAGCGACUAAGCGUACACGGUGGAUGCCCUGGCAGUCAGAGGCGAUGAAGGACGUGCUAAUCUGCGAUAAGCGUCGGUAAGGUGAUAUGAACCGUUAUAACCGGCGAUUUCCGAAUGGGGAAACCCAGUGUGUUUCGACACACUAUCAUUAACUGAAUCCAUAGGUUAAUGAGGCGAACCGGGGGAACUGAAACAUCUAAGUACCCCGAGGAAAAGAAAUCAACCGAGAUUCCCCCAGUAGCGGCGAGCGAACGGGGAGGAGCCCAGAGCCUGAAUCAGUGUGUGUGUUAGUGGAAGCGUCUGGAAAGGCGCGCGAUACAGGGUGACAGCCCCGUACACAAAAAUGCACAUGCUGUGAGCUCGAUGAGUAGGGCGGGACACGUGGUAUCCUGUCUGAAUAUGGGGGGACCAUCCUCCAAGGCUAAAUACUCCUGACUGACCGAUAGUGAACCAGUACCGUGAGGGAAAGGCGAAAAGAACCCCGGCGAGGGGAGUGAAAAAGAACCUGAAACCGUGUACGUACAAGCAGUGGGAGCCUCUUUUAUGGGGUGACUGCGUACCUUUUGUAUAAUGGGUCAGCGACUUAUAUUCUGUAGCAAGGUUAACCGAAUAGGGGAGCCGAAGGGAAACCGAGUCUUAACUGGGCGUUAAGUUGCAGGGUAUAGACCCGAAACCCGGUGAUCUAGCCAUGGGCAGGUUGAAGGUUGGGUAACACUAACUGGAGGACCGAACCGACUAAUGUUGAAAAAUUAGCGGAUGACUUGUGGCUGGGGGUGAAAGGCCAAUCAAACCGGGAGAUAGCUGGUUCUCCCCGAAAGCUAUUUAGGUAGCGCCUCGUGAAUUCAUCUCCGGGGGUAGAGCACUGUUUCGGCAAGGGGGUCAUCCCGACUUACCAACCCGAUGCAAACUGCGAAUACCGGAGAAUGUUAUCACGGGAGACACACGGCGGGUGCUAACGUCCGUCGUGAAGAGGGAAACAACCCAGACCGCCAGCUAAGGUCCCAAAGUCAUGGUUAAGUGGGAAACGAUGUGGGAAGGCCCAGACAGCCAGGAUGUUGGCUUAGAAGCAGCCAUCAUUUAAAGAAAGCGUAAUAGCUCACUGGUCGAGUCGGCCUGCGCGGAAGAUGUAACGGGGCUAAACCAUGCACCGAAGCUGCGGCAGCGACACUAUGUGUUGUUGGGUAGGGGAGCGUUCUGUAAGCCUGUGAAGGUGUACUGUGAGGUAUGCUGGAGGUAUCAGAAGUGCGAAUGCUGACAUAAGUAACGAUAAAGCGGGUGAAAAGCCCGCUCGCCGGAAGACCAAGGGUUCCUGUCCAACGUUAAUCGGGGCAGGGUGAGUCGACCCCUAAGGCGAGGCCGAAAGGCGUAGUCGAUGGGAAACAGGUUAAUAUUCCUGUACUUGGUGUUACUGCGAAGGGGGGACGGAGAAGGCUAUGUUGGCCGGGCGACGGUUGUCCCGGUUUAAGCGUGUAGGCUGGUUUUCCAGGCAAAUCCGGAAAAUCAAGGCUGAGGCGUGAUGACGAGGCACUACGGUGCUGAAGCAACAAAUGCCCUGCUUCCAGGAAAAGCCUCUAAGCAUCAGGUAACAUCAAAUCGUACCCCAAACCGACACAGGUGGUCAGGUAGAGAAUACCAAGGCGCUUGAGAGAACUCGGGUGAAGGAACUAGGCAAAAUGGUGCCGUAACUUCGGGAGAAGGCACGCUGAUAUGUAGGUGAAGUCCCUCGCGGAUGGAGCUGAAAUCAGUCGAAGAUACCAGCUGGCUGCAACUGUUUAUUAAAAACACAGCACUGUGCAAACACGAAAGUGGACGUAUACGGUGUGACGCCUGCCCGGUGCCGGAAGGUUAAUUGAUGGGGUCAGCGCAAGCGAAGCUCUUGAUCGAAGCCCCGGUAAACGGCGGCCGUAACUAUAACGGUCCUAAGGUAGCGAAAUUCCUUGUCGGGUAAGUUCCGACCUGCACGAAUGGCGUAAUGAUGGCCAGGCUGUCUCCACCCGAGACUCAGUGAAAUUGAACUCGCUGUGAAGAUGCAGUGUACCCGCGGCAAGACGGAAAGACCCCGUGAACCUUUACUAUAGCUUGACACUGAACAUUGAGCCUUGAUGUGUAGGAUAGGUGGGAGGCUUAGAAGUGUGGACGCCAGUCUGCAUGGAGCCGACCUUGAAAUACCACCCUUUAAUGUUUGAUGUUCUAACGUGGACCCGUGAUCCGGGUUGCGGACAGUGUCUGGUGGGUAGUUUGACUGGGGCGGUCUCCUCCUAAAGAGUAACGGAGGAGCACGAAGGUUGGCUAAUCCUGGUCGGACAUCAGGAGGUUAGUGCAAUGGCAUAAGCCAGCUUGACUGCGAGCGUGACGGCGCGAGCAGGUGCGAAAGCAGGUCAUAGUGAUCCGGUGGUUCUGAAUGGAAGGGCCAUCGCUCAACGGAUAAAAGGUACUCCGGGGAUAACAGGCUGAUACCGCCCAAGAGUUCAUAUCGACGGCGGUGUUUGGCACCUCGAUGUCGGCUCAUCACAUCCUGGGGCUGAAGUAGGUCCCAAGGGUAUGGCUGUUCGCCAUUUAAAGUGGUACGCGAGCUGGGUUUAGAACGUCGUGAGACAGUUCGGUCCCUAUCUGCCGUGGGCGCUGGAGAACUGAGGGGGGCUGCUCCUAGUACGAGAGGACCGGAGUGGACGCAUCACUGGUGUUCGGGUUGUCAUGCCAAUGGCACUGCCCGGUAGCUAAAUGCGGAAGAGAUAAGUGCUGAAAGCAUCUAAGCACGAAACUUGCCCCGAGAUGAGUUCUCCCUGACCCUUUAAGGGUCCUGAAGGAACGUUGAAGACGACGACGUUGAUAGGCCGGGUGUGUAAGCGCAGCGAUGCGUUGAGCUAACCGGUACUAAUGAACCGUGAGGCUUAACCUU
rnacentral:rRNA from 1 species